UACGAAGGGGGCUAGCGUUGUUCGGAAUUACUGGGCGUAAAGCGCGCGCAGGCGGUCUUCCAAGUCAGUGGUGAAAGCCCGGAGCUCAACUCCGGAACUGCCAUUGAAACUGUGAGACUUGAGUAUGAGAGAGGUGAGUGGAAUUCCCAGUGUAGAGGUGAAAUUCGUAGAUAUUCGCAAGAACACCAGUGGCGAAGGCGGCUCACUGGCCCGGUACUGACGCUGAGGUGCGAAAGCGUGGGGAGCAAACAGG
rnacentral:rRNA from 1 species